AGAGUUUGAUCCUGGCUCAGAUUGAACGCUGGCGGCAUGCCUUACACAUGCAAGUCGAACGGCAGCGCGGGGCAACCUGGCGGCGAGUGGCGAACGGGUGAGUAAUAUAUCGGAACGUGCCCUGGAGUGGGGGAUAACGCAGCGAAAGUUGCGCUAAUACCGCAUACGAUCUAAGGAUGAAAGCGGGGGAUUCGCAAGAACCUCGUGCUCCUGGAGCGGCCGAUAUCUGAUUAGCUAGUUGGUGGGGUAAAGGCCUACCAAGGCAUCGAUCAGUAGCUGGUCUGAGAGGACGACCAGCCACACUGGAACUGAGACACGGUCCAGACUCCUACGGGAGGCAGCAGUGGGGAAUUUUGGACAAUGGGCGCAAGCCUGAUCCAGCAAUGCCGCGUGAGUGAAGAAGGCCUUCGGGUUGUAAAGCUCUUUUGUCAGGGAAGAAACGGUAUGGGCUAAUAUCCCGUACUAAUGACGGUACCGUAAGAAUAAGCACCGGCUAACUACGUGCCAGCAGCCGCGGUAAUACGUAGGGUGCAAGCGUUAAUCGGAAUUACUGGGCGUAAAGCGUGCGCAGGCGGUAAUGUAAGACAGUUGUGAAAUCCCCGGGCUCAACCUGGGAACUGCAUCUGUGACUGCAUUGCUGGAGUACGGCAGAGGGGGAUGGAAUUCCGCGUGUAGCAGUGAAAUGCGUAGAUAUGCGGAGGAACACCGAUGGCGAAGGCAAUCCCCUGGGCCUGUACUGACGCUCAUGCACGAAAGCGUGGGGAGCAAACAGGAUUAGAUACCCUGGUAGUCCACGCCCU
rnacentral:rRNA from 1 species